UUUUAGAGAGAGAAAAAAAAAGCAACGGAGAUCCGUGGCCGUCAGACUGGCCACGUGGCGCCGAUCCGCAUAGUCUCCAAACUAAUUAAUUUGAGCACUACUAUGCCCAUAAAAUUUUUGUCCUGUUUAUUGGAAUUAUUUUUUUCAGAGAAAGAUAGCACGCUAACUGCUUCAUUAAUAAAGAGGGUGAAUUAAGCUACACGGAUGAGGACAGCAAGGCCACAGAAAGAGAGACAGAGAGAAA
rnacentral:lncRNA from 1 species